AACGAACGCUGGCGGCGCGCCUAAUACAUGCAAGUCGAGCGAGAAGACGUAGCAAUACGUUUGUAAAGCGGCGAACGGGUGAGGAAUACAUGGGUAACCUACCCUCGAGUGGGGAAUAACUAGCCGAAAGGUUAGCUAAUACCGCGUACGCUCCUUGGACUUCGGUUCAUGGAGGAAAGCGAUACCGUGGGUAUCGCGCUCUUGGAUGGGCUCAUGUCCUAUCAGCUUGUGGUGAGGUAACGGCUCACCAAGGCUUCAACGGGUAGCUGGUCUGAGAGGACGAUCAGCCACACUGGCACUGCGACACGGGCCAGACUCCUACGGGAGGCAGCAGUAAGGAAUAUUGCGCAAUGGGCAAAGCCUGACGCAGCGACGCCGCGUGGGGGAUGAAGGUCUUCGGAUUGUAAACCCCUUUCGGGAGGGAAGAUGGAACGAGCAAUCGUUCGGACGGUACCUCCAGAAGCAGCCACGGCUAACUUCGUGCCAGCAGCCGCA
rnacentral:rRNA from 1 species